GCAUUAGAACUAGCACUAGCGGUGGGAGUGGCAGUAGCACUAGUAGUAGUGGUGACGGUUGUGGAUGUAAAGUUGCCCUUACCGAUCAUGAUGGGAGAAAAGGUACAAACACAGACAAUGCUACAGAAGAAUAUGGCGAGCGGCAUUUCGAGAGCAGUAAGUAUAACGGUGUACUUGUACAUAGUAAACGGUAAAAUACCCAUCAAAGGAUAUAAAAUGUAAGGCAAAAGUCGUGCUAUCACCCUAGAAACCCAAAAACCACCCCAAGCAACCUCUAACCAUACGAAAAUCCAAAAGAUUCGGACGCCACCAAGCUUAGCAUUAGGGUACGGUGAAACACCAACUGCUAAAGGAAUAACAAGAGCUCCAGCUAAUGGAAACCAAAUAGUAAUCCAUCGAGUAAUGAAUGAGAGAUUAUUGAACCAUCGGUAGAACUUUACGAUAACAUACAUAAGUUUAAAAUCUGUCCUGUUUUUUUCCAAGAGCUGUUCCGGUUCUACAUUGUGGUCCAGCUCAUCGACCAAUUUCUCAGUAUUAGUAAACGCAGAAUCAUCUUGGUAUCCAGAACGUCGAUGCGGUUCUCUUCG